GGCCCGGCCCGGAGCAUGAUGAAAUCGCCGCGUAAACGCCGCGGCGCGCGCGCAGGCGCACAUUUCCCAACCCCGUGACGCCGCGCCGGGUGGGCGACCGCCAGCAGAUUCGACACAGAACCCGCAAUCCUUCGGAGCCUGGAGAGGGCUCGUUCCACCUCCGGCGCCUGGGAGGGCUGCGGGAUCUCAGGUGUCCGGAGUGAGGGACUCAGCUGUCCAGAAGGAAGCCAGCAAGGACUCCGUUACAGUUGGGACAACCUGGGGCGGGGCCCCACAGAGGAAGAAGAAAACGGUGGAAGUAAAACUUCUCUGCCGAGUAAGGUAGAAGGAAGAGGAUGUGAUUUCCAUUUAUACUGCUGUAGGAGAAUGUUCUUCGUUGACAUGGAUCCCCACUGUGCUGUCUCUGAGGAGUGUCUAUCAUGGCAGGUACUGGCAAUGAAACAACACUGGCUGAUCUGCAUCUCUGUGAAGGGUGACACGUUCGUUCUCCCCAGUACUUACUGAGAAGAGCUUUCCUGACAAAGCAGAAGAUGGGUGCUGGAGGACACAAAGUUGUGGCUGUGACUGCCUGCUGGCCUCAGGGUAUGAGAAAAGCGGCCGAGUAAAUGCAUACAUACAUUUACAUACAAAGUAAAGGAAUGGAAGUAAGUACAAAGUGCCUUGGGAACACAAAUAAGGAAGUAACUUGCUUUGACUGGCAAAUCUGGCUUCACCAAAGAGGUUAAGUUUUGAAGGAUGAAAGGAGGUCUGCAGAGAAGGAGUAAAACAUCCAGGCAGACGGAAUGUGACAGAAUGCACAGUAGCCCAGGUGAUGGCAUCUAGGGGAGCGCAGGUGGGUGGAGGAGGGCUGGUGGACAGGCAGCUGCCACUGUCCACCGGGACCAGAUUGUGAAAAGCCUUGUUUGCCAUUUUUAUAAGGCAUUUGGAUUUCAUUCUAGUCGCAACAUGGAGUCUACGCAGGCUGCUAAGCACAGGAAUGUCAAACGUCUGUGUUGUAUCAUAAUUUUGGCAUCGAUGUGGCAGAUGGAUGGGGACGCCCGGUUUAAGAGACCACAGAUUUUAUUUCUGGACUCUCCAUCGAGAUCAGCGCACCUUAGUUCCCUCAUUGGAGCUUAUAUGUGGCAUCUCUUCUGGACACCUUGAAUUCUGAAUCGUCUUCCCUCGGCCCCUCUGGCUUCAUACCCAGCCUAGAGCCCAACACAGAGCUUGAACUCAUGACCCCGAGAUCAAGAC